ACAGGUGAUGAUGCACCUGUGUCGAUCUCUUUCUUACCUGGGUUGGGCGUUUCGACUGUUGGCGACGGUGAUCCGGCAUUGUGGUGUGCUGAUGCGAGUGCUGUCACGGCUGUCAUGGCCUGUUGUGCAACAGUUUAGCUGGUGGUUAAUAUCUCUAAACCUGCGGAGCCAGUCGGCGUUCUGUAUGCACGCGACAUUGCUCUCGGUUCGUGUGAGCGAAUCGUUUGCUGUGCGGGCUGUCGCGCUCUGGCCUGUGGCUGAUUAUGUGUGUGUGCUGUGGAACCGUGGGGUGAUCUGCUGCACUGCUGCCUCGGCGGGGGUUUGAAUGGCGGCUCGGUCUGUCUUUCUCGUGCCUCGGCUUUGGGUUUGGACGGCGGCUUGGGUGUCACUCUCUCUCCCCCUGUGGGAUUGCUCUCUGCCUGGUCGGCCCAGUUUCGGCUCUGUCUUGGCUCUAAGUGGGUUUGCCGGUUUUAGCAUUUCUUUGUUGGUUGGGUCUAGUUAUUGUAUAUUUAGUUUAUACAACUGGCAUUUUGUGGUGUGUGUGUAUUUUAUAUUGUUUUUUUCAUUUUGGUUCGUUUGAAUUAAUUGAUGUGCACGUUUUGAUUAAUUUUUGGUGUGUUUUGCUUUAUUUUUUUUUGCCACUGUGUAUUUUAAAUAGUAUAUUGUAUUUUAAAUUAUUUGGCCCAUAUUUCUAUUUUGCCUUUCUAUAUGCCUUCUUAAGUGGUAUACCAAAGUAUAUCAGUUUGUGAUUCCUUAACUCAUAUUUUUAUGUAGUAUUCAACUAGUCUGUAUACUGCAUUCCUGAAAUUCAGUUAUGGCUUUUGGUUUAGUGUGCCACCCCAGGAUUUUCAGUGGCCCCAUCUGGCCACCCCUGGGAAAAUUUCCGGUGGGCUCCCCUGUGGUGAUGCCGCAGGUGCUGCAUCAAAUUUGAUAUAGUUAUUCCCUCCUUUAGCAGCAACCAGCAAGUUUUUGAACAUGUGAUCUGUCAUCUUCAAUGACGCCCUGGUCAGUCUUGGUGUAUCCGAAAUUCUCCCACACUGCCAACUUCUGCCAUUUCUUUGGUGGAAAUAAAGCAUCACAGUUUGGUCCCGCUGCCAUAG